rnacentral:lncRNA from 1 species
CCACACCAUACCGCAUACUAUGGUAUCCCGUACCUAUACCGUACCAGGCCAUCGAAGCCAUCGGCUGCCCAAGCUCCACCCCUGCCAGCCAACAGGCACCAUCCUUGGCCAUGCAUUUCAUUGCGAAUGUUCCCACACUUUCGCGGCCUUUGUCUUGAGAUUUGUUUCGGAGAGGAUGGAUGCUGUUCUUAAUUGCUAUCCUCAUGAAACAAAUCGCUCUUUAAUAGGCAUCUCAUUUCUGUCCUCGGUGGUUUAGAACUUCCUUGCUUAGAUAUCUUUAUAAAUACAUACGACUAAACUCACACUCGAAUCUAUAGAGAAGCGUACAGAAAGAAGCAAACUCGUUGGUACAUUUGGCAUGGGCAGACAGCUGUGUGCAUUGGCGGAUGCCAUCAGCAUCAGCAUUGGCAUCGGCAUCGGCAUCGGCAUCAUCCUGAGUUCGUCUGUCCGUCAGCGUCCGUCCCAUCGCGUAUGUGGGGGAAGUCCAUAAAAAAAGAAACCAAACCAGCACACAGUUAUAAAAAUAAAACUAUUUUCGUAUGGCAUGUGCAUAUACAUAUGUAGAAUAUAGACCCUCGAUCAUUAGACGGCAGCGAUGAUCAGCAGCAGCAGCAGCCUCUUGGCACAGUUUUCCAGAGCACCGAUUGGUCCAUAAAUCAAUCGAAGCAAAUUAAAUUAAUUCAAUUUCUUAACACGCUGAAUCAGAAGAGCCGAC